CGUCGGUUGUUCGUGCUGCGCGAAUUAUAAUGUCUCUACCAUUGUUUCUGCGCGAGCAUUGGCGGUGUGCGGGCCCCUCUUUCCCGCUUUGGAAUCAGGACAGCUGGACAGGUGAGUCAAUCACGGUACGCAAUGUGAGUUACAAGAUAAUCGCAUUUUCGUGAGCUACCUCUCGAAGGAUUCCGAGCCAAUAUUGUGGGUAAAAGAAAAUGACGUGGGUUCUCUGCAUGGGAACAGUCCUUCUUGCAUGUAUACAGGGAUCUGUAUGCUUCGAAGACGACCCCACCUAUAUGCAAUGCAGCGAGUGGCCAGACAGAGGGCCGUGUAACGGAACUCUAUAUCGGUAUUACUACAACUUCAAAAGAGGACUAUGUCGCCUCUUUGUCUACGGUGGAUGUCAGGGCAAUGACAACAACUUCAGAAGCCGCAACGAAUGCAUGCGUACCUGCGCAACCGUGAUCACCGCAAGAGUCUGCAGACUUAAACCCGUCUCUGGACCGUGUCAGUCCCGAGUAAUUCGCUACUACUUUCAACAAAAGACGCAAUCAUGCCGUCCGUUUGUGUUCUCUGGUUGCGGCGGGAACCGCAACAACUUCGUAUCCAGCGACGAAUGCCGCAUGCAGUGCUUCGGCAAGGAGGAGCACGAAAGGGGAAGAUAAUCGAGUGUGA
rnacentral:lncRNA from 1 species